UACGUAGGGGGCAAGCGUUGUCCGGAUUUAUUGGGCGUAAAGAGCGUGUAGGCGGCCAUGCAGGUCCGUUGUGAAAACUCGAGGCUCAACCUCGAGACGUCGAUGGAAACCAUCUGGCUAGAGUCCGGAAGAGGAGAGUGGAAUCCUGGUGUAGCGGUGAAAUGCGCAGAUAUCAGGAAGAACACCCGUGGCGAAGGCGGCUCUCUGGGACGGUACUGACGCUGAGACGCGAAAGCGUGGGGAGCGAACAGG
rnacentral:rRNA from 1 species